CGGACCGGCGCACGGGUGAGUAACGCGUAUGCAACCUGCCUGAUACCGGGGGAUAGCCCAUGGAAACGUGGAUUAACACCCCAUAGUACUUUUAUCCUGCAUGGGAUGUGAGUUAAAUGUUCAAGGUAUCGGAUGGGCAUGCGUCCUAUUAGUUAGUUGGCGGGGUAACAGCCCACCAAGACGAUGAUAGGUAGGGGUUCUGAGAGGAAGGUCCCCCACAUUGGAACUGAGACACGGUCCAA
rnacentral:rRNA from 1 species